GGACGGUUAGCUCAGUGGUAGAGCACUGCAUUCACAUUGCAGGGGCCGCUGGUUCAAUCCCAGCACCGUCCA
rnacentral:tRNA from 1 species